rnacentral:lncRNA from 1 species
CAAAGAUCAUCUUUUUUUCAUCUUUGUCCUUGACUGCCAUGGUUUUGUGUGUCAAUAAUCCUUGAUACAGGAUGAGACUUUUCUACAUGUCAGUGCUCUUUAUCAUUUUGUUCUUUUUUGCCUAGACCAUCCUGAAGAUUUUUCUGUGUGCUGAAGUUUCACCCAAAGGGGACAAGUGGGCCACACUAGCCACGUACCGCAACAUCCCAUUUGGUGAAGUUUGGACACCGCAAAACCCUUUGGAACCCUGAUCCUCUCCUGACUGUAAAAUGGGGUCAGUGAUAAAGCUACUACAGAAAAAGAAAAUGAAAAAGAGCAGAGUAAGCCAACAACAGAUUGCAGGCAUACACACAAGAUUUCUCCAUGGUCAGGAGGAAUUAUGAUUUCCUUUUAUGAUCUUUUGGCCAGAAGAAAGAACAUGCUUUGAUAGUUGAAGAAGUCCACAAACUCUAUUAAAACUAAUGCAAUAGUCAGAGAAUAAAAAAUGGCUGCAAUUCA